UUACGGCCACAUCACGUUGAAACACCGGUUUCCGUACGGUUACCGAAGUUAAGCAUCAUCGAGCCUAACCAGUAUUUAGAUGGGUGACCCCUGGGAAUACCAGGA